CUGAAGCCUUCUGAAGGUAAGCAGAUUAUUUCCUUUAUUUCUGCGCCUAGAAUUGUUGCAUUUGAGUAUAUCCUUACUUGUUGCAGCCUGGGACUUUGCUGCUAUGCUGCUGUUGCUGUGCUUUCCAUUGUGUUGUAGUAUUACAAGUGUGUUUCGAUAGCCCUGUAUCUGCCUAUUGUCUCUGACUUGAGAAGGAAACUGAAACCCAGUGUGCUGGGAAGGAGAAGUUCAAAGUAAUUGUAGUGAUGUUAAUUCCAUACAUUGGUUUUUCUCAUGUGGUAAGAAUACACAGUUCCCUUCAACUUGGUAACCUUAAGGAACUUGACAUUAUUUCAGUGUAAAAGAAAAGUGGGGUCUGUAAUGCAUGGACCUCAUGGCCAUUGUAGGUUCUGAAGCCUGGUUGUGAACCUGGCAAUAGCACCCAACAGGUGGCAUGAGCCCAGCACUAGCUGGGGAGAGUUUGGAGGCAAAGUGAAGGAUGGAGGAGGUGACACCUAGUUUGUGUGGUGGGGCUCCAGAUGAAAGCCAGAUCAUAAAGUCGUAGAAUGGUUGAGUUGGAAGGGACCUCAAAGAUCAUCUGGCUCUGUCUCCCCUGCCCAAGGCUGGGUUUCCACCCACUGGAUCAGGCUGCCCAGGGCCCCAUCCAACUUGGCCUUGAAUGCCUCCAAGGACAGGGCAUUCAGGACCUCUCUAGGCAAGCACUGAAGACCAUUUCAUUCAUCAGCCCAGUUCCUUUGCAUCCCAAAGCACAUGGAAGCGUUCCUAAUGCAUGCAAUAGGAAAUGUUGGAAGGGGGUUGCUAAGGGCAUCCACAAGUCUGCUCCAUGCCAGAUGGAGAAAUGCAGGAGGUGCUGGUGGGGGGGAGUACAACAAAAGAAAGGUAUCAGAGCCAGCUGGCAGGGCCUCCAGGGGGUGAAGAGGGCUGGUUGCCCAGCUGGUAGAUGAGGUGGGUGUAGAGCAGAACCCAGGUGUGUGCAGGCUGAAGCCCAACGAGCUGCGAGCUGCUCUCUUGUGUCAUUACAUUUAGAGACGAGCAACCAGGAUGUGUCUGAAAAGGUUACCAGGCUCCUUUCUAAUGACUCAUUUCAGAACAGUGGCGUCAGUAAGCCACAAUUUUUGCUUUGCUGUGAUUUUAGAGG
ensembl:lncRNA